rnacentral:rRNA from 1 species
GUUGACCUCGGAUCAGGUAGGAAUACCCGCUGAACUUAAGCAUAUCAAUAAGCGGAGGAAAAGAAACCAACAGGGAUUGCCCUAGUAACGGCGAGUGAAGCGGCAACAGCUCAAAUUUGAAAUCUGGCCUCGGCCCGAGUUGUAAUUUGCAGAGGAUGCUUUUGGCGCGGUGCCUUCCGAGUUCCCUGGAACGGGACGCCACAGAGGGUGAGAGCCCCGUAUGGUUGGACACCUAGCCUGUGUAAAGCUCCUUCGACGAGUCGAGUAGUUUGGGAAUGCUGCUCAAAAUGGGAGGUAAAUCUCUUCUAAAGCUAAAUACCGGCCAGAGACCGAUAGCGCACAAGUAGAGUGAUCGAAAGAUGAAAAGCACCUUGAAAAGGGGGUUAAACAGUACGUGAAAUUGUUGAAAGGGAAGCGCUUGUGACCAGACUUGCGCCGGGCGGCUCAUCCGGGGUUCUCCCCGGUGCACUCCGCCCGGCUCAGGCCAGCAUCGGUUCUCGUGGGGGGAUAAGACUGGUGGGAACGUAGCACCCUCCGGGGUGUGUUAUAGCCCGCCUGACGAUACCCCCGUGGGGACCGAGGUUCGCGCUCCGCAAGGAUGCUGGCGUAAUGGUCAUCAGCGACCCGUCUUGAAACACGGACCAAGGAGUCGUCCAUUAUAGCGAGCGUUUGGGUGUAAAACCCGCACGCGUAAUGAAAGUGAAAUUAGGUGAGAGCUUCGGCGCAUCAUCGACCGAUCCUGAUGUUCUCGGAUGGAUUUGAGUAAGAGUUAUAACGGACGGACCCGAAAGACAGUGAACUAUGCUUGUAUAGGGUGAAGCCAGAGGAAACUCUGGUGGAGGCUCGCAGCGGUUCUGACGUGCAAAUCGAUCGUCAAAUAUGAGCAUGGGGGCGAAAGACUAAUCGAACUGUCUAGUAGCUGGUUACCGCCGA